rnacentral:rRNA from 1 species
UACGGAGGGUGCAAGCGUUGCUCGGAAUUAUUGGGCGUAAAGGGCAAGUAGGUGGUCUCAUUUGUCUGGGGUGAAAGCCUUGGGCUUAACUCAAGAAGUGCCCCAGAAACGGUGAGACUAGAGUCCUGGAGAGGGUCGUGGAAUUCCCGGUGUAGCGGUGAAGUGCGUAGAGAUCGGGAGGAACACCAGAGGCGAAAGCGGCGACCUGGACAGGUACUGACACUCAACUGCGAAAGCGUGGGGAGCAAACAGG